ACAGAUUUACCAUAACCUGCUCCUCCCUGGCUUGAGGUCUUUGCUCUGGCCAAGGAUCAUACAAGGAUAAAAGCAUCCCUGUCUUGUUUACUUGAGUUUGACACCCUGCUCCCUAAUUAGCUGCUUCUCUGAGACCACUCUCUACUUGAACCUGUGUACACUGACAACAUUCUUCCCACAAGUCGCUAAUAAACACAGCAACCUAAAAUCACAGAGUGAAGUAAGUGGAGCAACAGGGCUUCUUCCUUGAUGGCAGUCACCGAAGGCUCUGGGCUGGAAGCCACAUAGGCUUCAGGUCACUUGUCACUCUGGGCCAGUGGGAUGUUGGAAGUUUUCAGACUCUCAGUAACUUGAGAAAUCUGAGCUUCAGCAAAAGUCCUAUAGUCAGGUAGGUUUAGACUACCUGGUUCAGAUGGGUUCUUUCUCCUCUGGCUACUCCAAGGUAAUUCAAAUUGAUAAAUUGUAGUAGAAAGGUACUGAUCAACGUAAGCAAAGGUUCAGUUUACUGGAAGGAUUGGUGGUAGCUAAGAGAACUGAAGAAAUAACUGGAUCAUCAGAUCUUGUAAGGCAGAGAAAAUACAGACUAUCCCAGAAAUAUCCAAUAACAAUAACUAACAUUUAUUGAGAGCUUCCUAUGUUCCAGCCCUUGUUCUAAGCCCUUGGCAUGCACUAAUUCAUCUGCUUCUUGAUACAGUGCUAUAAGUUGGGUAUACUUGUUAUGCUGUGGGUAAAAGAGUUACAAAACCUAAUUGACCUUUCGUUAACUGCCUGUUCUCUGGAAACCAGUUAUGAUGCUAUGUGUCAACCAUGAUGCUAGGAGACAUUGCUCAUGGUAAAAAUGACCCUUGAUUGGGAAAUUGCUCCUAGACUGACAGAACUAUAAAUACCUGUUAGGAAGCUGUAGUUUUGGGCUUCUCUGACUUUUACAACUUACAUGUCCUUAUGGGAGGACCUGAAAGCUAUGCCUCUGGAAUUGUUGCAAGAACUACCAGCUAUUGGAGAAGAAGAGGGUGAAGGGGGAGGAGAGGUCAUGAGGUUUUUAAUCUGGAGCAAUUCCCACCUGAUGUGGAUCUUAAGCCUAAUUUUUAUUGUGUGGACUAUUGAAAGGACUCUUGUGCUGAAGAACAUCUGAUAUGCUUCUCAAUAAACUGAUGCCAAAUGUGGAGCUUUUGGUGCUUAUUGCUGUCUUGUGAGUCUUAAUGUUUAUUUGAACCUAAGAAGACCCCAAUGGGCAGUGCAUAUUGCUUUUCUGCAGAAAAAAAUGAGGCAGAGAGAAGUAAACCUAAGUAAUCCACAGUCACAUGGACAAUAAAUAGUAGAGCCAUGUUCAGUCUUGGGCCAGCUGGUUCUAGUACUCAUGUGGUGCCACAUGUUGCCUCUCAAACAAUUGUCCAGUCUCUGUAGGGCACAGCCUUCUGGAGCUCAAACAAUUGUCCAGUCUCUGUAAGGCACAGCCUUCUGGAGGAAUUUGCUCCUGUUAGUUCCAGUUUUGGGUCUGUCAGCUCAAGAUGCAAAUUCCUGGGGAAGAGAGGUGGCCUCACUGUGCCGUGAACCCAUUUCUGGCCAGGAGAGGGACAAGUGAUUUGAAUGAAAAUUCCAAAAGGCAAAUCAGAAGAGAGUGAGUGUGAAUUUGACACAAGCAAUAAAUGCCCACUUCCACUGGGGUUGGAUUGGGCUCUAGGACAGGUCCAUACUGAGCAUUCGUCUGCAAUAUAUUUGUCAUUGCUAUUGCCAUUGGUGUUAAUGUUGAACACAUAUCAGGGGAACCUCUAUUUGGUAGAUUCUCACAAUACCCUCUGUAUUUAGAGACAGUAUUUAGAGAGCCCUGAGAAGGCAAGUAUUCCACAGCGUGGUUUUGCAAUAUUAGGCAGGAAAGGUGUCCCUGGGUGAAACUGUGAAGUAGCUAAACUCCUUCAGAGGCUGGAAACACAGCUAAUAAUUGACAGUUGGAGGCAAGUGGGAGAAGAAAAAGGCUUGUUGUGGGGAGAGGCUUUGGAGGGCCAGAGCUUGCUGGAUCAUGGGAACACAUUACGCUGGGUUGGGAAACAGGUUCUUUUCCCCUCCAGGAGACGAAAGGGUAGCAGUUGGGUAGGCUUGGAGAGGGUGAGGUUUGGGAUAGAAGAGAGCUGGGUGACAGGAUAGGUGAGGUAUUUGGAAUCAAGUGAUAAGUUCCAGUGGGGUCAUUAAACCAGAGAGGAGUUAGUGAGUUUUCUGUGUCAGGAGUGUUUGUUGAGGAUGUGCCCUCAGGGGAUACAUCAUUCCAAAAAUACGUCUGGGACCACAGUGUCCACUGACAGUGACAGCUCAAGGCUUCUGGGAUGGCUGUGUCUGGUGGUUCAAGGCCUGUUCCUCUGAGGGCUGUGGGUUGGGCAGGGGUCUCCAUCACUGUCUGUCUUUGAAUCUGCCCUUUCUUCAGGCUCUAGCCCCU
rnacentral:lncRNA from 10 species